rnacentral:rRNA from 1 species
UAGGGCAUAUUAGUAAUGGGCGAAAGCCUGAACUAGCAACACCGCGUGUGCGAAGAAGGCCUUCGGGUUGUAAAGCACUUUUUGAGAGGAUGAGGAAGGACGGUACUCUCAGGAUAAGUCUCGGCUAACUACGUGCCAGCAGCCGCGGUAACACGUAGGAGGCAAACGUUAUCCGGAUUUACUGGGCGUAAAGCGCGUGUAGGUGGUUCUGUAAGUAGGGCGUGAAAGCUCCUGGCUCAACUGGGAGAGGUCGUUCUAAACUGCCGGACUAGAGGAUGGUAGAGGGAGGUGGAAUUCCGGGUGUAGCGGUGGAAUGCGCAGAUAUCCGUAGGAACACCAGUGGCGAAAGCGGCCUCCUGGACCACUCCUGACACUCAGACGCGAAAGCUAGGGUAGCAAACU